rnacentral:lncRNA from 1 species
AGACGGCGCCUUCCAUAAACGUUUGGCAUGUAAAAACGUUCAUACCGUGAAGGACUUCUUACGGUUGCUUGUUACCGAUCCAAUCGCACUACGCAAUGUAAUAAAUGAAAAAAAUUUCAUGUCAAUCACAACAUUUGAUCUUUUCUUUUCUUUUUCUUUUUUUGUUUCAUCUGCUGAGUGCUGACCUGUCUGAAUUGUGACAUAACUGCAGAUACUAGGUGGUGGGAUCUCAAACAGGGUAUGGGAAACAAUCAUAGAACAUGCUUUAUCAUGUGUUCCUGAUGAUGACGAAUGGUAUGCCUACCAUGGAACUGCACAAAGAGUUCGACUCAUAUUAAACUCUAUUUACAAGGUUGUUGAAGUAACAUUUGAUGGCCAAGAUUACCUACCUGUGGAAAAUUUAACCUUUUCUCAGAAGGUUUGUACUUUAUAUGUCAU